rnacentral:tRNA from 1 species
GGAGAGAUGGCUGAGCUGGUCGAAGGCGCGCGACUGGAAAUCGCGUAUACGGACAAAACCCGUAUCGGGGUUCGAAUCCCCUCUCUCCGCCA